CGGUACGUACUGGCAUUGUUGGUUUCUCCCUUCUGACGAACCAUGAUGUCAUUUAUUUGGUGUUGUGGGGAAUCAGGACUGUUACUUUGAAAAAAUUAGAGUGUUUAAAGCAGGCUCACGCUUGAGUACAUUAGCAUGGAAUAAUGAAAUAGGACGUUUGAUUCUAUUUUGUUGGUUUCUAGGAUCGACGUAAUGAUUAAUAGGGAUAGUUGGGGGCAUUAGUAUUCAAUUGUCAGAGGUGAAAUUCUUGGAUUUAUUGAAGACUAACUACUGCGAAAGCAUUUGCCAAGGAUGUUUCCAUUAAUCAAGAACGAAAGUUAGGGGAUCGAAGACGAUCAGAUACCGUCGUAGUCUUAACCAUAAACUAUGCCGACUAGGGAUCGGAUGAUGUUAAUUUUUUAAUGACUCAUUCGGCGCCUUACG
rnacentral:rRNA from 1 species